rnacentral:rRNA from 1 species
UACGUAGGGCGCAAGCGUUGUCCGGAUUUACUGGGCGUAAAGAGCGCGCAGGCGGUCGUUCAAGUCGAGUGUGAAAGCCCCCGGCUCAACUGGGGAGGGUCACUCGAUACUGAUCGACUUGAAGGCAGGAGAGGGAAGCGGAAUUCCCGGUGUAGUGGUGAAAUGCGUAGAUAUCGGGAGGAACACCAGUGGCGAAGGCGGCUUCCUGGCCUGUUCUUGACGCUGAGGCGCGAAAGCUAGGGGAGCAAACGGG